GCGGGCCCCUGGGGUCAAGCGACGCGCACAGGUAAAUAUAGGACAUCGCACCUGAAGUCUGGGAGGGACCCAAGGUUGCCGGCAAGACUGAAACGCGUUCUUCCAAAUAAACUUGUACGUUUAAUGAAACCCUAGUUGGACAGUUAUCAGACUUAACAAAAUUAUGACUUGACCUGGAAGAGUGAACAGCCCCCAAGCAGCUAUCAUUUCCCGCCUUGGGAACGAAAACACGAACGAGGGUGGACUUGCCCUACCAUAUGAAAGCAAACAGUGAAUGAAGCUACUGCGCUCAAUUCAGAACACCCUAACCCAGAAGCAGAAAACCUACAGACAGGUUCCAGCAACGGUAAGAACGUGAUGGAAAAGGAAGUACGGAGCAUCAGUGGCGGCGAGUCUAAGACAGCUCGCGGGGGACUUCCUGAAGAAACUCCUGAAAAGCUGUCAGCACCCUACUGAGCCAAAGGCAUGGAAGUUAAAACUUUCGUUCGCUUGUUUUUUUUUUUUAAACAAAUCAGAAAUCGGUUUCAAAUGAUAACCUUCACACAUAGUCUGAGGUCUGGUGGGUAAUCUUUCUCCUAUACUACUGGAAGCAUAUAAAUUGCCUCACCAUUCCCGAACAUGAAUUUGCCGGUGGAAGCCAAAAAUAAAAAUGCUCUAGAAUGA